rnacentral:tRNA from 1 species
GGAGAAGUGGGUGAGUGGCUGAAACCACACCCCUGCUAAGGGUGCAUACUGUAAAAGGUAUCGAGGGUUCGAAUCCCUCCUUCUCCGCCA